rnacentral:sRNA from 1 species
UAAAAGCUUAAGCACGUUCUCCACGAAUUCUUCUAGCCAAUUGAAUGUCCUUAGGCAUGAUCGUAACCCUCUUGGCGUGAAUAGCGCAGAGAUUAGUAUCCUCGAAAAGUCCAACUAGGUAUGCCUCAGCCGCCUCUUGAAGAGCUAACACCGCGUGACUCUGAAACCUCAGAUCCGUCU